rnacentral:lncRNA from 1 species
AUAAAAUAUUUUUGUAUUUUUUAAUUUUUGUUUUUGAUGAAGGGCUCAUGGCCGCGAAGGCCAAAAUGCCUAAAACCCACAAAAGUUACAAUGUAGCCCUAGGUACAAGAACUGUGUUAAGUGCUUUAUAUAGUACACGUUAUAUAAGUCCUCAUAAUGGUCCUGUUGUUCCCCUCAUGUAACAGGCAAAGAAACUGAGGCUUAGAGAGGUUGAGUCACUUACUCAAGGCCCCAUCUAAUGGGUUGGGGAGUUGGAAUUCCAGCUACCUCUUGCCUGACUCCAUAGUUCUUGUUCUUCCCCAUGGUCUGCAGAAACCUGAAGGACUUGGCGGCAGGAAAAAUUUGGUGGGGAACAUGUGUCUUCUCUCUUGCCUGCUCUGAUUUCUCAGGAGCAGGACCCAGGAGGGCAUCCGAGCCUCUGGCAGCUGAACCUCUGCAAACAGCAGUCACAGUGCAUUUCUGCAGGCUCUUGGAGCUGCUCCCUCUGCCUCGGCCAGAUGCGAAUUUGUGGCUUUUCCUUCUUGGCUCCUUUCCCCAGGUUUUCAUUCCUUUUAUUCUGGGAUGGAGCUGAAAUUUUUCCAACAGGGCCCAUGGUGGACACCCAGAAGUCAGUAGGGACUCCAAAAGGAAGUUAAGGCCGGGGAAGGGGGCCAGGAAGAGGGAGACCAGCCUAAAGUACACAACACUCAAUUCUUCAUUACUCACAUGUGGCCUGACCGCUGGUGGACUGGCUCCAGGAAAAUCUGAACCCUGGGCUGAGCCUCCCCGCCGGCUGGCCAGGACAGACCUGGAUGCCCUCCACCCUCCAGCCAAACUUAUUUUUUUCAUAUCAUAGCUGCAGAAUAUUCGGACCCUCUAGUCCCAGCCGCCCAGUGAACUUGAGCUGUGUGACCUUGAGCAAAAGGCAAAAUGUUUCUGAUUUUCAGUCCCCUCAUCUGGAAAAGGAGGAGGCUGUGGGACAUGAUGAUCUUUGAAAGUCUAAUAAUGAAACAAACAGAAAACCUGUGCUUCUAAGUUGGCUUGGUGUACAGUUGAUGUCUAGAAUAUAUUAACAGAAGGCUGCCCUGUAGAAGUUUUGAGUUAAUGGUUUCCAUCAACGCAGGAGUGGAAGAAGCUACUGGGGAUCAGGAAUCAGAAGUCCUGGCUUUAAGCCCUAGCUUUAGCCCUCACUGGUAAUAAAAUCAAAGCAAUUGGUCUCUUUGACUUCAGUUUCUCCACUUUUAAGGUUGACCUGAUAAUACUUGCCCUGCUUGUGAAGAGCAUGUGAAAUAAUAGCUAUUCAAAUUUUUACAAAGCAC